UGGCUCAGGAUGAACGCUGGCGGCAUGCCUAAUACAUGCAAGUCGAACGAGUAGACCUUCGGGUUGCUAGUGGCGAACGGGUGAGUAACACGUAGAUAACCAACCCUUAUGACGAGGAUACCCGGGGAAACCUGGACUAAUACUGGAUAGGAGCUAAUUUCACAAGAGGUUAGUUUUAAAGGCGCCUCAAAGCGCCGCAAGAGGAUGGGACUACGUCGCAUUAGCUAGUUGGUGGGGUAACGGCCCACCAAAGCGACGAUCAGUAGCCGGCCUGAGAGGGUGAACGGCCACAUUGGGACUGAGACACGGCCCAAACUCCUACGGGAGGCAGCAGUGGGGAAUAUUGCACAAUGGGCGCAAGCCUGAUGCAGCCAACGCCGCGUGAGUGAAGAAGUAUUUCGGUAUGUAAAGCUCUAUCGGCAGGGAAGAAAGGCCCGAAAGGGAGAUGACGGUACCUGACUAAGAAGCCCCGGCUAACUACGUGCCAGCAGCCGC
rnacentral:rRNA from 1 species